GACACGAAACCAGGAAACAGGAAAACGAGACGAAGAACACGAACCGGACAGCAGCGAAAAGAAUACAGAACUGCAACAGGUAAAAAAUACAGAAAAGAAGAAGAAAAAGAACGAAGAGAAGAAGAGACGAAGAAGAUGAUAACAGACGAAUAAGAAGAAGAAGAGAAGAAGAAGAAGAAGAAGUGAAGAACAGAAAAAAUAGAAAAAAGAAGGAAAACAUACUUGGCGACGAUGCAACUCAGCGAUGGCGCGACUCAGCGAUGGCGGCGGCGGACGGAAAUGGGUUCAGAAAAAUGAUGAAGGCUCUUGAGUAGUUUGUAGAGCUCGCCGCGGGCUGCAUAUUCCAAGACCAAGAAAACGCGCGUCUCGUCAUGGAACCAUGCGAAGAGGCGCAGGACGUUCGAAUGGUUCAAGUUGUGUUGGAUCUCAAUUUCCCGCCGGAGGUGGGAGUGCGAUCGGUAUUUCUCCAGCUUCGCCUUGAAGAUCACCUUUAGGGCAACCACAUACCCGCUCUGGACACAGUUCCGACGCCAAUGACAUCGCCAGGAUGAGAAAAACCGUAUUUUUUAAAGAAGAAAUUCGGAAACUAGAGGAGUGAAAACCCUAAACAAUACUUGUUUCUCCCUGGCGAGGUAGACCUUCCCAAACUUGCCUUCUCCUAUGAACUUGCCAAUCUCGAAGUCUGCGAUGCUCCAUUCCUCCUUCGCCAUGGAAGGACUUUAUCGAAAUCGAGGGAGGAGGCGGACUCUGAGGGCUGAGGCGGCGCAAUUGAAAUUGGUUUUUCAAAUUUGGGAUCAGAGAUCGGAUCUCGGGUCGCAAACCCGUUAACCUGCGCACGUGCCAGAAGUUACCAGAUUCCGGUUUCAAACCCAUGAAGCAAAGUGGCGUCGUUUCUACUCCCUGUUCUCCGCCUUCGCCGGCCGACUAUCUGAAGAGAAAUCCCUUCGCUGUCUUAUACAGAAGAUCUACGGUGAGCUCUUUGUCCUCCUCCUCCGCCUCCUCCUCACUUAAGGUGCAAGUACUUAAGGUGCAGCUGAAUACUUUUCAUCAGACAUCAAGGCUAUAUUGUUACUCCGGUGAUUUGUUUUGGCCAGAUUUGAUAUUUGUUUUCCAAAAGGUUUAUGAAUUUCGCUCCCUGUAUUUUUGACA